UAUGGAGGUAGAGCUCUGAAUGUAUGAUGGCCCCACCUAGGGGUACUGAGUAGAAUUAAACUACGAAUGCCAUAAUUUCAUACUCGGCAGUCAGAACAUGGGUGAUAAGGUCCAUGCUCGUGAGGGAAACAGCCCAGAUCUACAUCUAAGGUCCCUAAAUAUAUACUAAGUGUGKAAGGAUGUGAAGGUGCACAGACGGCUUGGAUGUUGGCUCAGAAGCAGCCACCAUUUAAAGAGUGCGUAACAGCUCACUAGUCGAGUGCCUUUGCGCCGAAAAUGUACCGGGGCUUAAGUAUAUUACCGAAGAUUAGGAUUCACAGCCCUGUGAGUGGUAGGGGAGCGUUCUAAGGGCCAUGAAGUCCGACCGUGAGGACUGGUGGAGCGCCUAGAAGUGAUUAUGCCAGCCUGAGUUACGGUCGKAGGWGAGAAUCCKCCAUGCCGUUU
rnacentral:rRNA from 1 species